rnacentral:tRNA from 1 species
GGUGGCUCAGUGGUAGAGCAUUUGCCUUGCAUGCAUGAGGCCCUGAGUUUGAUUCCUCAGCACCA